AUGUAAAUUCCUACAACAUAGCGUUAAUACACUAAAUCCCAUUAGAACUCCGCAGUUAAGCGUGCUCGGGCUAGAGUAGUACUUGGAUGGGUGACUACCCGGGAAGUACUAGUGGUUUACAUG
rnacentral:rRNA from 1 species